AGUUGUAAUUUGUAGAGGGUGCUUUGGCGUUGGCUGUGGUCUAAGUUCCUUGGAACAGGACGUCGCAGAGGGUGAGAAUCCCGUUUGUGGCCGCCAGUCUUCGCCGUGUAAAGCCCCUUCGAC
rnacentral:rRNA from 1 species